CGUUUAAAACACUGGUUCCGUACGAUCACCGAAGUUAAGCAACGUCCAGUCUGGUCAGUACCUAGAUGGGUGAGCGCUUGAGAAUAUCAGGUGCU